rnacentral:rRNA from 1 species
GGGGAGUACGGUCGCAAGACCGAAACUCAAAGGAAUUGACGGGGGCCUGCACCAGCGGUGGAGCAUGUGGUUUAAUUUGAUACAACAUGCAAAACCUUACCAGCCCUUGACAUAUGAACAACAAAACCUGUCCUUAACAGGAUGGUACUGACUUUCAUACAGGUGUUGCAUGGCUGUCGUCAGCUCGUGUCAUGAGAUGUUUGGUCAAGUCCUAUAACGAGCGAAACCCUCGUUUUGUGUUGCUGAGACAUGCGCCUAAGGAGAAAUUGCCACCGAGUGACGUGCCAGCCCUACUACUUGAUUGAGUGCCAGCACGUAGCUGUGCUUUCAGCAAGAAUUUCACCAUUGGGAGCCGGUGCCUUCCGAAGCACUUUCACGUGUGAAACGAAGUCGUCUUGCCCAAGACCCACGGAGACCUACCUAUAGUGACGUCAAAGUACCAGUGAGCAUGGAGAUUUGGUUGAAAUUUGUUACGACGACGUCGACUUGGCGUCGGAGGAAGACUCGUCAUGAAGGCCAGAAAAUGGUGUGGAACGUAGUGGUAAUACGAUGCACCCCGCUCCGAAUCAAAGAAAAAAGUGCGUGCCGCACUCAAGAGGGAUUGCCAGUGAGAUACUGGAGGAAGGUGGGGAUGACGUCAAGUCCGCAUGGCCCUUAUGGGCUGGGCCACACACGUGCUACAAUGGCAAUGAUAAUGGGAAGCAAGGCUGUAAGGCGGAGCGAAUCCAGAAAGAUUGCCUCAGUUCGGAUUGUUCUCUGCAACUCGGGAACAUGAAGUUGAAAUUGCUAGUAAUCGCGGAUCAGCAUGCCGCGGUGAAUAUGUACCCGGGCCCUACACACACCGCCCGUCACACCCUGGGAAUUGGUUUCGCCCGAAGCAUCGGACCAAUGAGCACCCAUGACUUCUGUGUACCACUAGUGCCACAAAGGCCUUUGGUGGUCUUAUUGGCACGGUGGGGUCUUCGACCUGGGUGAAGUCGUAACAAGGUAGCCGUAGGGGAACCUGUGGCUG